rnacentral:sRNA from 1 species
CAAAAAACCAGCGUCGCGAAGGCGCUGGCUCGGACGACAACUACCGUCAUGUGCCGUACAGGUCGCGGCGGACGGCGACGCGAAGCGUCUGGAAGACCGGAGACUGGUUGUCAGCCAGGGGGUCCGGCGAACAAUGUGAGCGGAUUCUAGGGAGGGUUUUAUAGAUCGUCAACACUAUAAAGUCCCGAAAUCAUAACAAAAAGUAA